GACGUUCGAUGUCGAUUUGGAGGUUGUGCCCUUGAGGCGUGGCUUCCGGAGCUAACGCGUUAAAUCGACCGCCUGGGGAGUACGGCCGCAAGGUUAAAACUCAAAUGAAUUGACGGGGGCCCGCACAAGCGGUGGAGCAUGUGGUUUAAUUCGAUGCAACGCGAAGAACCUUACCUACUCUUGACAUCCAGAGAACUUUCCAGAGAUGCUUUGGUGCCUUCGGGAACUCUGAGACAGGUGCUGCAUGGCUGUCGUCAGCUCGUGUUGUGAAAUGUUGGGUUAAGUCCCGCAACGAGCGCAACCCUUAUCCUUUGUUGCCAGCGGUUCGGCCGGGAACUCAAAGGAAACUGCCAGUGAUAAACUGGAAGAAGGUGGGGAUGACGUCAAGUCAUCAUGGCCCUUACGAAUAGGGCUACACACGUGCUACAAUGGCGUAUACAAAGAGAAGCGACCUCGCGAGAGCAAGCGGACCUCAUAAAGUACGUCGUAAUCCGGAUUGGAGUCUGCAACUCCACUCCAUGAAGUCGGAAUCGCUAGUAAUCGUAGAUCAAAAUGCUACGGUGAAUACGUUCCCGGGCCUUGUACACACCGCCCGUCACACCAUGGGAGUGGGUUGCAAAAGAAGUAGGUAGCUUAACCUUCGGGAGGGCGCUUACCACUUUGUGAUUCAUGACUGGGGUGAAGUCGUACCAGGGGUAAAC
rnacentral:rRNA from 1 species